GAAACGCGAUAGGUAAUGUGAAUUGCAGAAUUCCGUGAAUCAUCGAAUCUUUGAACGCACAUUGCGCCUUCUGGUAUUCCGGUAGGCAUGCCUGUCUGAGCGUCAGCAAAACACCCUCAGCCUGAGUAUUUUCGUACUUAACGCUGGUCUUGGGUGGUGGAUGCCGGUGGGGAGUUAAUUCUUUCCUGCCUGCGCCCUCCCUAAACUUGCUGCACGACCGCAAGCCCCUUCUAGCUAGGUCAACGGAGUGGUGUUACGAUCUUCCAAAAAAGCCUGCUGGUAAACUGCUUCGCGGCGUUAAACCAUAGAGUCUCCCACCGUGGAGGCUUGAAGUUUUGACCUCAGAUCAGACAAGGAUACCCGCUGAACUUAA
rnacentral:misc_RNA from 1 species